rnacentral:rRNA from 1 species
UACGAAGGGGGCUAGCGUUGCUCGGAAUCACUGGGCGUAAAGCGCACGUAGGCGGAUUUUUAAGUCAGGGGUGAAAUCCUGGAGCUCAACUCCAGAACUGCCUUUGAUACUGGGAAUCUCGAGUCCGGAAGAGGUGAGUGGAACUGCGAGUGUAGAGGUGAAAUUCGUAGAUAUUGGGAAGAACACCGGUGGCGAAGGCGGCCAUCUGGACCGCAACUGACGCUGAGGCGCGAAAGCGUGGGGAGCAAACAGG